rnacentral:rRNA from 1 species
UACGUAGGUGGCAAGCGUUGUCCGGAUUUAUUGGGUUUAAAGGGUGCGUAGGUGGCUAACUAAGUCAGUGGUGAAAUAUCUCAGCUUAACUGAGAGGGUGCCAUUGAUACUGGAUAGCUUGAGUACAGAUGAGGUAGGCGGAAUUGACGGUGUAGCGGUGAAAUGCAUAGAUAUCGUCAAGGACACCGAUAGCGAAGGCAGCUUACCAAGCUGUAACUGACACUGAGGCACGAAAGUGUGGGGAUCAAACAGG